rnacentral:tRNA from 1 species
GCGGGUAUAGUUUAGUGGUAGAACACGACCUUCCCAAGGUUGAGACGGGAUUUCGAUUAUCCCUACCCGCACAA